rnacentral:rRNA from 1 species
AUUGAACGCUGGCGGCAGGCCUAACACAUGCAAGUCGAGCGAGCGGCGGACGGGUGAGUACUGCUUGGGCAUCUAGCUUAUGGAGGGGGAUAACUACGGGAAACUGUAGCUAAUAACGCGUACCAUAGGAUGAGCCCAAGUGGGAUUCGGUAGUGGGUGAGGUAAAGGCUCACCAAGCCGACGAUCUCUAGCUGGUCUGAGAGGAUGACCAGACACACUGGAACUGAUACACGGUCCAGACUCCUACGUGAGGCAGCAGUGGGUAAUAUUCCACAAGGGGCGCAAGCCUGAUGCAGCCAUGCCGCGUGUAUGAAGAAGGCCUUCGGGUUGUAAAGUACUUUCGGCGAGGAGGCGUUACUCGCAGAAGAAGCACCGGCUAACUCCGUGCCAGCAGCCGCGGUAAUUC